ACACUUCCGGCCUUUGUGGGCCGCAGCGACGGCGGUCUGCGGCUGUCGGUUCUGUUUGUUGCUGUCACUGCUGUUUGUUCUUGCCAGCGGCUAGGGUCUGGCUGUUUUGCCCAGAAUGGAGUGCAGUGGCGUGAUGGUCUCGGCUGACAGCAGCCUCGACCUCCUGGGCUCAAGCCUUGGCCUCCCAAAGUGCUGGGAUUACAGCCACCAUCCUGUGAGGAAGCCCAGAGCACAUGAAGAGACCACCUGCACAUGUUCAGAUCCACUGCCCCAGCUAAGAUCUCCGCUGACAGCCAGACCAAUCACCAAUCUUAGGAGCUGGCGAGCCUUCAGAUGGUCCAACCUUUGAGGCCCCCCAGAGGAGCCAGGUGGAGCAUAGAUGAGCCAUCCAUGUGGAUCCCUCCACCAAAUGGAAGAUUUAGGAGCAAAAUAAACAAUGUUGUCAUUGCU
rnacentral:lncRNA from 1 species